GUGGGGAAUUUUGGACAAUGGGCGCAAGCCUGAUCCAGCAAUGCCGCGUGCAGGAAGAAGGCCUUCGGGUUGUAAACUGCUUUUGUACGGAACGAAACGGUCCUGGUUAAUACCUGGGGCUAAUGACGGUACCGUAAGAAUAAGCACCGGCUAACUACGUGCCAGCAGCCGCGGUAAUACGUAGGGUGCAAGCGUUAAUCGGAAUUACUGGGCGUAAAGCGUGCGCAGGCGGUUUUGUAAGACAGGCGUGAAAUCCCCGGGCUCAACCUGGGAAUUGCGCUUGUGACUGCAAGGCUGGAGUGCGGCAGAGGGGGAUGGAAUUCCGCGUGUAGCAGUGAAAUGCGUAGAUAUGCGGAGGAACACCGAUGGCGAAGGCAAUCCCCUGGGCCUGCACUGACGCUCACGCACGAAAGCGUGGGGAGCAAACAGGAUUAGAUACCCCAGUAGUCC
rnacentral:rRNA from 1 species